rnacentral:rRNA from 1 species
UACGUAGGGUGCAAGCGUUGUCCGGAAUUAUUGGGCGUAAAGAGCUCGUAGGCGGUUCGUCGCGUCGGCUGUGAAAACCCGAGGCUCAACCUCGGGCCUGCAGUCGAUACGGGCGGACUGGAGUUCGGCAGGGGAGACUGGAAUUCCUGGUGUAGCGGUGAAAUGCGCAGAUAUCAGGAGGAACACCGGUGGCGAAGGCGGGUCUCUGGGCCGAUACUGACGCUGAGGCACGAAAGCGUGGGGAGCAAACAGG